GGGUUGUGAGGUUAAGCGACUAAGCGUACACGGUGGAUGCCCUGGCAGUCAGAGGCGAUGAAGGACGUGCUAAUCUGCGAUAAGCGUCGGUAAGGUGAUAUGAACCGUUAUAACCGGCGAUUUCCGAAUGGGGAAACCCAGUGUGAUUCGUCACACUAUCAUUAACUGAAUCCAUAGGUUAAUGAGGCGAACCGGGGGAACUGAAACAUCUAAGUACCCCGAGGAAAAGAAAUCAACCGAGAUUCCCCCAGUAGCGGCGAGCGAACGGGGAGGAGCCCAGAGCCUGAAUCAGUGUGUGUGUUAGUGGAAGCGUCUGGAAAGGCGCGCGAUACAGGGUGACAGCCCCGUACACAAAAAUGCACAUGCUGUGAGCUCGAUGAGUAGGGCGGGACACGUGGUAUCCUGUCUGAAUAUGGGGGGACCAUCCUCCAAGGCUAAAUACUCCUGACUGACCGAUAGUGAACCAGUACCGUGAGGGAAAGGCGAAAAGAACCCCGGCGAGGGGAGUGAAAAAGAACCUGAAACCGUGUACGUACAAGCAGUGGGAGCACGCUUAGGCGUGUGACUGCGUACCUUUUGUAUAAUGGGUCAGCGACUUAUAUUCUGUAGCAAGGUUAACCGAAUAGGGGAGCCGAAGGGAAACCGAGUCUUAACUGGGCGUUAAGUUGCAGGGUAUAGACCCGAAACCCGGUGAUCUAGCCAUGGGCAGGUUGAAGGUUGGGUAACACUAACUGGAGGACCGAACCGACUAAUGUUGAAAAAUUAGCGGAUGACUUGUGGCUGGGGGUGAAAGGCCAAUCAAACCGGGAGAUAGCUGGUUCUCCCCGAAAGCUAUUUAGGUAGCGCCUCGUGAAUUCAUCUCCGGGGGUAGAGCACUGUUUCGGCAAGGGGGUCAUCCCGACUUACCAACCCGAUGCAAACUGCGAAUACCGGAGAAUGUUAUCACGGGAGACACACGGCGGGUGCUAACGUCCGUCGUGAAGAGGGAAACAACCCAGACCGCCAGCUAAGGUCCCAAAGUCAUGGUUAAGUGGGAAACGAUGUGGGAAGGCCCAGACAGCCAGGAUGUUGGCUUAGAAGCAGCCAUCAUUUAAAGAAAGCGUAAUAGCUCACUGGUCGAGUCGGCCUGCGCGGAAGAUGUAACGGGGCUAAACCAUGCACCGAAGCUGCGGCAGCGACGCUUAUGCGUUGUUGGGUAGGGGAGCGUUCUGUAAGCCUGUGAAGGUGUGCUGUGAGGCAUGCUGGAGGUAUCAGAAGUGCGAAUGCUGACAUAAGUAACGAUAAAGCGGGUGAAAAGCCCGCUCGCCGGAAGACCAAGGGUUCCUGUCCAACGUUAAUCGGGGCAGGGUGAGUCGACCCCUAAGGCGAGGCCGAAAGGCGUAGUCGAUGGGAAACAGGUUAAUAUUCCUGUACUUGGUGUUACUGCGAAGGGGGGACGGAGAAGGCUAUGUUGGCCGGGCGACGGUUGUCCCGGUUUAAGCGUGUAGGCUGGUUUUCCAGGCAAAUCCGGAAAAUCAAGGCUGAGGCGUGAUGACGAGGCACUACGGUGCUGAAGCAACAAAUGCCCUGCUUCCAGGAAAAGCCUCUAAGCAUCAGGUAACAUCAAAUCGUACCCCAAACCGACACAGGUGGUCAGGUAGAGAAUACCAAGGCGCUUGAGAGAACUCGGGUGAAGGAACUAGGCAAAAUGGUGCCGUAACUUCGGGAGAAGGCACGCUGAUAUGUAGGUGAAGCGACUUGCUCGUGGAGCUGAAAUCAGUCGAAGAUACCAGCUGGCUGCAACUGUUUAUUAAAAACACAGCACUGUGCAAACACGAAAGUGGACGUAUACGGUGUGACGCCUGCCCGGUGCCGGAAGGUUAAUUGAUGGGGUCAGCGCAAGCGAAGCUCUUGAUCGAAGCCCCGGUAAACGGCGGCCGUAACUAUAACGGUCCUAAGGUAGCGAAAUUCCUUGUCGGGUAAGUUCCGACCUGCACGAAUGGCGUAAUGAUGGCCAGGCUGUCUCCACCCGAGACUCAGUGAAAUUGAACUCGCUGUGAAGAUGCAGUGUACCCGCGGCAAGACGGAAAGACCCCGUGAACCUUUACUAUAGCUUGACACUGAACAUUGAGCCUUGAUGUGUAGGAUAGGUGGGAGGCUUAGAAGUGUGGACGCCAGUCUGCAUGGAGCCGACCUUGAAAUACCACCCUUUAAUGUUUGAUGUUCUAACGUUGACCCGUGAUCCGGGUUGCGGACAGUGUCUGGUGGGUAGUUUGACUGGGGCGGUCUCCUCCUAAAGAGUAACGGAGGAGCACGAAGGUUGGCUAAUCCUGGUCGGACAUCAGGAGGUUAGUGCAAUGGCAUAAGCCAGCUUGACUGCGAGCGUGACGGCGCGAGCAGGUGCGAAAGCAGGUCAUAGUGAUCCGGUGGUUCUGAAUGGAAGGGCCAUCGCUCAACGGAUAAAAGGUACUCCGGGGAUAACAGGCUGAUACCGCCCAAGAGUUCAUAUCGACGGCGGUGUUUGGCACCUCGAUGUCGGCUCAUCACAUCCUGGGGCUGAAGUAGGUCCCAAGGGUAUGGCUGUUCGCCAUUUAAAGUGGUACGCGAGCUGGGUUUAGAACGUCGUGAGACAGUUCGGUCCCUAUCUGCCGUGGGCGCUGGAGAACUGAGGGGGGCUGCUCCUAGUACGAGAGGACCGGAGUGGACGCAUCACUGGUGUUCGGGUUGUCAUGCCAAUGGCACUGCCCGGUAGCUAAAUGCGGAAGAGAUAAGUGCUGAAAGCAUCUAAGCACGAAACUUGCCCCGAGAUGAGUUCUCCCUGACUCCUUGAGAGUCCUGAAGGAACGUUGAAGACGACGACGUUGAUAGGCCGGGUGUGUAAGCGCAGCGAUGCGUUGAGCUAACCGGUACUAAUGAACCGUGAGGCUUAACCUUACAACGCCGAAG
rnacentral:rRNA from 1 species